UCCCAGAUAGCUCAGUUGGUAAAGUAUCUGCCUGCAAUGCAGGAGACCCUGGUUCAACUCCUGGGUUGGGAA
rnacentral:tRNA from 1 species